rnacentral:rRNA from 1 species
AUACGUAGGGGGCAAGCGUUGUCCGGAUUUACUGGGUGUAAAGGGUGCUCAGGCGGGUUUGUAAGUCGGUGGUGAAAUCCCGGGGCUUAACUCCGGAACUGCCAUAGAAACUGCAAGCCUAGAGUACGGAGGAGGUUGAUGGAAUAUCUGGUGUAGCAGUGAAAUGCGUAGAUAUCAGAUAGAACACCAAUGGCGAAGGCAGUCAACUGGUCCGUUACUGACGCUAUAGCACGAAAGUGUGGGGAGCGAACAGGAUUAGAUACCCUGGUAGUCCACACCCUAAACGAUGAGUACUAGACGUUGGGCCUUUUAAGGUUCAGUGUCUGAGCUAACGCAUUAAGUACUCCACCUGGGAAGUACGAUCGCAAGGUUGAA